CCUACGGGGGGCAGCAGUGAGGAAUAUUGGUCAAUGGGCGAGAGCCUGAACCAGCCAAGUCGCGUGAAGGAUGACGGCCCUACGGGUUGUAAACUUCUUUUGUCAGGGAGCAAUUGGGUCCACGCGUGGGCUUCGUGAGAGUACCUGAAGAAAAAGCAUCGGCUAACUCCGUGCCAGCAGCCGCGGUAAUACGGAGGAUGCGAGCGUUAUCCGGAUUUAUUGGGUUUAAAGGGUGCGUAGGCGGAAUAUCAAGUCAGCGGUAAAAAUUCGGGGCUCAACCCCGUCGUGCCGUUGAAACUGAUGUUCUGGAGUGGGCGAGAAGGAUGCGGAAUGCGUGGUGUAGCGGUGAAAUGCAUAGAUAUCACGCAGAACUCCGAUUGCGAGGGCAGCAUACCGGCGCCCAACUGACGCUGAAGCACGAAAGCGUGGGUAUCGAACAGGAUUAGAUACCCGGGUAGUC
rnacentral:rRNA from 1 species